AUGGCAGCAUUGUGGCGGUGUAGAGAUAGCUUGACCGCAAUUCGAAGAGUAGACUCGAGCCCAGGGGAUGUUGGCAAGCGCCCUAUCCAACCGGACGAGGAUGGGCACCUCUUGCUGGUUCGACCAAGUGAAGCGGCGGUCGAGCAGAGGGAGGUCCUGAAGCUGCAGCGUGUUAAUAGUAGAGGAGAAAAGAUGAGCUUUGUUCAUGUUGAAGUGGGAGGAGGAUUUGUCCGAUGGCCUAAGCGUGAUGUUGAAAUCUCCAAUUAUCGUCCGGAGAUUCCAGCCCCAUGUGCCAAGAUGCAGCAGCAGGCAACAAUUCCAACACUAGUGGCUAGUGCCAAGAUGCAGCGCCUUCAUGGGCGAGCCUCCGGCCGGGGUGCCGAGGAGUGUGGUCGUGGAUGGCGGGGGAUAGCAGCGGGGAUGGAGCUCCUGUGCUUCCGUGACAGAGCGAGCACAAGAGUUGUGGCGGUGGCGGCGACGACGAGCGAGCGUUGGCGGCGGCGGAUAUUCAAUGACUCAGCGGACAACCUGUUCCCUGUAUUUCUGAACCUGACGGGAAAGCUUGCAAGCAAAGUUUUUGCAAACCCGGUAGAAGGUUUGGCAAAGAAGCUGUGUCAACAUCCCACGGGGCACGCUACUCUGAUCGCCGUGUGGGUACAGGUCGUCAUCUUCGUCGUCCAGAUAGCAUCCAUGCUGGCCCUAGUUCUGGUUCUAAUUGCCACGGUCCUAUAUCUGUUUGGGCCUCUCGCCUGUGUGGUGCUGUCGGUGUGGCGCCUACUGCAGCACGACACCGCAGGAGAGAAGAGCAAUGCGAACCUGGUGCCAGCGCUGGUCAUAUUCUACUGCUUGGUCAUCUGCCAAGGCGUCUUCUACUUGCUAUGGCGUUUGAUCAACGGCGCAGAGACGUGGGUCGUCGUUUCAGUCUGCGAGGAAUGCCGGCUACCAGAAGAGUGGGGCGGCAUAGCGGUUCUAGAUUACGUCCACGACACCGCAGCGAAGUGCUGGCGGGACCCUAGAUCUGGUAGGAAGUUGAUCGACUACGCCGCCGAUCUGGUGGGCUCCGAAUCGCAGGAGGACUACCUCUCUGGAGCAAGGAUACUCGACACCUUCAUCAAGCUGGGGGCCGAUGUAAGGUCGCUGCUACUCCCCUCUAGACCAAAGGUUCAGAAGCUGAUCGAUACGCUAGGGUGGAGGAGCAGCAACCGAGAGCUCAGGGAGUUGGCUGCCAGGAUCGUCGCGUACCUUGCUGGUGACAUCCAUUUGUCCCAGUUCCCUGGGGCGAUGCGCUGCAUAUCCUCCCUGCUCGAUGCCAACCAGCCCUACUGGAACAAUCAUCAUCUUCACUCACCUUCUAGCAUAUCAAAGGAUGACACUGACGUCCCUAAGGAGAUGGUGAUUUCAAUUAUCAAACGCAUAGAGAAACACAGAGCAAAAACCGUUAGAAACCAAGGUGGUGUCAUUCACCGAGAUGGCGGCAUUGGCAGCAGAGGAGAUGGCUGGAAUGAGCUGAUUCUGCAAGGCCUCACAAUUCUCGAGAGGCUCGCCUUGGAUCAACACAACUGCAGCGACAUGUGCAGCACCCCAGGUCUCCUCCCUAAGAUCAUGGCACCUCUCUACUCCAACACACUAAUCCAAGAUACAAAUGCAAGUGCAUGGGCCGAUGUAGCGAACGGAUCGCUCAAAGUGGUGCAUAGGAUCAUCCGUGCUCCGGGCACAAGCCUGGCCCAUGACGUCUCUUCAAGCAAGCAGGCAGUGAGCAACCUGGAGAACCUUCUUGAACAGGGAAAUAAAGAACUGCAAAUGCGAGCCAUAGAAAUCCUGACAGAACUGGCUUUUGAUUCGUCCACCAACCUCGGCACAGAAACAAAAGAAAAUCUAAUCAAAAAGCAGUUGGAGAUAUUCCUUACUGAUGAUGAAGGGGAAGAAGAAAAGCUUAGAGUUACGGCUGGGAAAUCACUGGCAUUACUUUCCAAGAUGAAAACCAUCUCCAAGUUUAUAAUGAUGGAACAGAACAACAUUGUUGAUCGUCUCAAUGAAAUGCUUGAUGCUAACAACAACAUCACGUACAGGACAGUAGCAUUGUUGGUCUUGGAGAAUUUGUGCACUCACAGUGUAUUGGACAAGGAUUAUGUAAAGGAGGCCUUGCUGCCAAAGGUCCUCACGGAAGUAAUGGGUGGUGGUAAACGAGACAUCUUGAAAAAUAAUUCUGCACCAGAAGAAAACCAGGCAAUUUCUGGACCUGGAAACGAUGAAGAAAAGCAACUGUUGUCCAAACACAGUGGCCAAAUUAACUCACCUGAUGAGGUAAAUGAGGAGCGAAAUGCUCAAAUGGAAUUUAGAGAAGCAUUGUUAUCGCUUACUUUGGUGCUGUAUGACCAACUAUUGAGCGCGGACGACUUCGAUGAUGUGGCUCGAAAGGUUCCGCUCGGAGAAGGUGAAUUUGUGUCGAAGCUCAAGACUAUAGUAGGAUUGAAUUGUGAGCCCACAGCUGACCGGCUCAGAAUCGUGAAGCUUUGCGGCCAGCUUGUGGUAUUAGUGUUGAAGCGCAGCAGCCAGGACACUACUCUGCAGUUCAAGGAAUGUGUGCAGUCGUUGUCUAGGGCUUCAGGGAUCAUGUCUAACCUUGAAAGUUGCAUGCUCUUCGCAGGGACUGAUUGCGGUAUGAAGACGACCGCUAGGCCUCUCCUCUCCAACCUUGCGGAGGAAGCACUCAAGUUGGUUGGUAACUAG
rnacentral:rRNA from 1 species